UGCGCAGUUUUCGAGAUGUACGGGUCGGUUGGGAAUAGUCCGGUGGUGCCAAUCCUGACCGGGAUGGUGGUUCCACAGACCCUGCACGGAACUGCCGGCAGUGUUGGAGGUUUUUUUGUGUACGUCUCAGAAAGAGAUGGCGACCCUGACUGCUGUUCCUGUUGGGUGAAAAUGAGAACUGCAGAUCCUGGAGGUUAGAAUCGAGAGAGUGGUGGUGGAAAAGCACAGCAGGUCAGGCAGCAGCCGAGAAGCAGGAGAGUCUCCAGUUUACCUAAUAAUACACUCAAAUGUUGAGCUAAAUACAAUUUAACAUUGUGGAAAUGAGUUUAAAUAUUAAAAUUUAAUUUUCAUUAUUUCA